ensembl:lncRNA
CUCGUGGAAAAGGACUUUAAUUUGGGGAGGGGUCCGACUGCCACCCUCAGCCCCCCAUCCUCCCCACACCAAAAUGUCCGAAGGUGGAGAGCGGUGGGAAGAACCCAACGUGAAGAGCAACGGGAAAAGCCAACGUGAAGGGUGAGGUGUGCCACCCAAUGUGGGGCAAUGGGGCACCCAAUGGGGGGCAAUGGGGUAACCAAUGUGGGGCAAUGGGGUAACCAACGUGGGGAAAAUGGGGCAACUAACCUGAGCAAUGGGUCAACCAAUGUAGGGCAAUGGGGCACCCAACAUGGCACAUUGAGGGAACCCUACAUGGGGCACUGGGGCACCCAACGUGGGGCAAUGGGGUAACCAACGUGGGGCAAUGGGGCACCCAAUGGGGGGCAAUGGGGUAACCAAUGUGGGGCAAUGGGGCACCCAACGUGGGCAAUGGGAGAACCAACAUGGCACAAUGGGGCACCCAACGUGGGGAAAAUGGGGCAACUAACCUGAGCAAUGGGUCAACCAAUGUAGGGCAAUGGGGCACCCAACAUGGCACAUUGAGGGAACCCUACAUGGGGCACUGGGGCACCCAACGUGGGGCAAUGGGGCACCCAAUGGGGGGCAAUGGGGUAACCAAUGUGGGGCAAUGGGGUUACCAACGUGGGGCAAUGGGGCACCCAAUGGGGGGCAAUGGGGUAACCAACAUGGGGCAAUGGGGCAACCAACCUGAGCAAUGGGAGAGCCCCAUAUGGGGCAAUGGGGCACCCAACCUGAGCAAUGGGAGAACCAACAUGGCACAAUGGGGCAACCAACCUGAGCAAUGGGACAACCCUAUAUGGGGCAACGGGGCAACCAAGAUGGCGCAAUGGGACACCCAACAUGGGGCAAUGGGGUAACCCUACAUGAGGCAAUGGGACAGCCAACAUGGGGCAAUGGGACAACCCCAUAUGGGGCAAUGGGGCACCCAAUCUGAGCAGUGGGGCAACCAAUGUGGCGCAAUGGGACACCCAACAUGGGGCAAUGGGACAACCAAUGUGGGGCAAUGGGGUAACCCUACAUGAGGCAAUGGGACAGCCAACGUGGGGCAAUGGGGUAACCAACCUGAGCAAUGGGACAACCUUAUAUGGGGCAAUGGGGCAAUCAAGAUGGCGCAAUGGGACACCCAACAUGGGGCAAUGGGGCAACCAGCAUGGGGCAAUGGGGCAAUCAACGUGGGGCAAUGGUGUAACCAAGGUGGGGCAAUGGGAGAACCCUACAUGGGGCACUGGGGCACCCAAUGUGGGGCAAUGAGGUAACCAACCUGAGCAACGGGACAACCCUAUAUGGGGCAACGGGGCAACCAACAUGGCACAAUGGGACACCCAACAUGGGGCAAUGGGACAACCAACGUGGGGCAAUGGGGUAACCCUACAUGAGGCAAUGGGACAGCCAACGUGGGGCAAUGGCAAAACCCCAUAUGGGGCAAUGGGGCACCCAACCUGAGCAAUGAGGUACCCAACAUGGCACAAUGAGAGAACCUUACAUGGGGCAAUGGGGUAACCAACGUGGGGCAGUGGGGUAACCAAUGUGGGGCAGGGGGAGAACCCAACAGAAAGAGCAAUGGGGCACCCAACAUGGGGUAGUGGGAGAACCAACGUGAGGCAAUGGAGCAACCAACCUGAGCAAUGGGGCAACCCUACAUGGGGCAAUGGGGCACCCAACAUGGCGCAAUGGGGUACCCAACCUGAGUAAUGGGGCAACCAACAUGGCGCAAUGGGGCAACCCUACCUGGGGCGAUGGGACAACCAACCUGAGCAAUGGGACACGCAACGUGGGGCAAUGGGAUGACCCCAUACGGGGUAAUGGGACAACCAACAUGGGGCAAUGGGACAACGAACAUGGGGCAAUGGAUGACCCCACAUGGGGCAAUGGGACAACCAACAUGGGGAGAUGGGACGACCAACAUGGGGCGAUGGGAUGACCCCACAUGGGGCGAUGGGACGACCAACAUGGGGCGAUGGGAUGACCCCACAUGGGGCAAUGGGACAACCAACAUGGGGCGAUGGGAUGACCCCACAUGGGGCAAUGGGACAACCAACAUGGGGCGAUGGGAUGACCCCACAUGGGGCGAUGGGACGACCAACAUGGGGCAAUGGGAUGACCCCACAUGGGGCGAUGGGACGACCAACAUGGGGCAAUGGGAUGACCCCACAUGUGGCAAUGGGACAACCAACAUGGGGCGAUGGGACGACCAACAUGGCGCAAUGGAAGAACCCAACAUGGGGCAAUGGGAUGACCCCAUAUGGGGUAAUGGGACAACCAAUAUGGCGCAAUGGGACGACCAGCAUGGGGCGAUGGGAUGACCCCACAUGGGGCGACGGGACAACCAACAUGGGGCAAUGGAAGAACCCUACAUGGGGCAAUGGAAGAACCCUACAUGGGGUGAUGGGACACCCAACCUGAGCAGUGGGGCAAUCCUACACGGGGCAAUGGGACGACCCUACAUGGGGAAUGGGACAACCAACAUGGGGCAAUGGGGCAACCAAUGUGGGGCAAUGGGAAAACCCCAUAUGGGGCAAUGGGGCACUCAGUGUGGGGCAAUGGGAGGACCCAACAUGGGGCAAUGGGGCAACCAACGUGGCGCAAUGGGACAACCCUACAUGGGGCGAUGGGACAACCAACCUGAGCAAUGGGACACGCAACGUGGGCAAUGGGAUGACCUCAUACGGGGUAAUGGGACAACCAACAUGGGGCAAUGGGACAACGAACAUGGGGCAAUGGGAUGACCCCACAUGGGGCAAUGGGACAACCAACAUGGGGCAAUGGGAUGACCCCACAUGGGGCAAUGGGACAACCAACAUGGGGUGAUGGGACAACUAACGUGGCACAAUGGAAGAACCCAACAUGGGGCAAUGGGAUGACCCCUUAUGGGGUAAUGGGACAACCAAUAUGGCGCAGUGGGACGACAUGGGGCGAUGGGAUGACCCCACAUGGGGCGAUGGGACAACCAACAUGGGGCGAUGGGACAACCAACAUGGGGCGAUGGGAUGACCCCACAUGGGGCGAUGGGACAACCAACAUGGGGCGAUGGGACAACCAACAUGGGGCAAUGGAAGAACCCUACAUGGGGUGAUGGGACACCCAACCUGAGCAGUGGGGCAAUCCUACAUGGGGCAAUGGGACGACCCUACAUGGGGCAAUGGGGCAACCAACAUGGGGCAAUGGGGCAACCAAUGUGGGGCAAUGGGAAAACCCCAUAUGGGGCAAUGGGGCACUCAAUGUGGGGCAAUGGGAAAACCCCAUAUGGGGCAAUGGGGCACUCAAUGUGGGGCAAUGGGAGGACCCAACAUGGGGCAAUGGGGCAACCAAUGUGGGGCAAUGGGGCACCCAACGUGAGCAAUGGGGCAACCAACGUGGCGCAAUGGGACAACCCUACAUGGGGCGAUGGGAGAACCAACAUGGGGCAAUGGGAUGACCCAACACAAAGAGGAAUGGGGAAACCCAAUGAGAGGAGGAAUGGGAUAACCUAAAACAAAGAGCAAUGGGGAACCCCAAUGAGAAGAGCCAUGGGAUAACCUAAAACAAAGAGGAAUGGGAAACCCC